GACGAACGCUGGCGGCGUGCUUAACACAUGCAAGUCGAGCGGUAAGGCCCUUUCGGGGUACGACGAGCGGCGAACGGGUAGGAGUAACAACGUGGGUGGACCUCGCCCUCCAGCUCUGGGAGUAAAGUACUGGGAAACCGGGGUACCGUAAUAACUGGAGUAUGACUCCAUGACGCAUGUUGUGGGGUGGGAAAGACCUUG
rnacentral:rRNA from 1 species